GCCGCUUUAGCUCCAACAGGUAGAGCAAUAGCAUGGUAAGCUAGAGGUUCCGAGUUCGAAUCCCGGAAGCGGCA
rnacentral:tRNA from 1 species